GUUUCAUUCAAAUGUACUUUGCUUGUAAAGUUUGCGUUGAAUAGUUUAUUGCAUGAUUUUUUGGACUGGAUACUCUUAUGUGGUUUAUUUAUCAAGGAAAUUCUCUGGAGAUCGGGAUGAACUAAUAAUUAAAAAAUCAUGAUAUCAUAUGCAGUAUUCAUGCUGUUGUGAUUCUAUAGUCCUGUUGCAAAUCUAGAUUUUCAUUUUUGCUAGUCUGAUCUCUCUCUUUCUCAUAUU
rnacentral:misc_RNA from 1 species